GCAAGUCGAGCGGAUGAGAAGAGCUUGCUCUUCGAUUCAGCGGCGGACGGGUGAGUAAUGCCUAGGAAUCUGCCUGGUAGUGGGGGACAACGUUUCGAAAGGAACGCUAAUACCGCAUACGUCCUACGGGAGAAAGCAGGGGACCUUCGGGCCUUGCGCUAUCAGAUGAGCCUAGGUCGGAUUAGCUAGUUGGUGAGGUAAUGGCUCACCAAGGCGACGAUCCGUAACUGGUCUGAGAGGAUGAUCAGUCACACUGGAACUGAGACACGGUCCAGACUCCUACGGGAGGCAGCAGUGGGGAAUAUUGGACAAUGGGCGAAAGCCUGAUCCAGCCAUGCCGCGUGUGUGAAGAAGGUCUUCGGAUUGUAAAGCACUUUAAGUUGGGAGGAAGGGCAUUAACCUAAUACGUUAGUGUUUUGACGUUACCGACAGAAUAAGCACCGGCUAACUCUGUGCCAGCAGCCGCGGUAAUACAGAGGGUGCAAGCGUUAAUCGGAAUUACUGGGCGUAAAGCGCGCGUAGGUGGUUUGUUAAGUUGAAUGUGAAAGCCCCGGGCUCAACCUGGGAACUGCAUCCAAAACUGGCAAGCUAGAGUACGGUAGAGGGUGGUGGAAUUUCCUGUGUAGCGGUGAAAUGCGUAGAUAUAGGAAGGAACACCAGUGGCGAAGGCGACCACCUGGACUGAUA
rnacentral:rRNA from 1 species